GGGGUAGUAAAGGUUUCGACAGGGGUUUUGCAGCUGGAGAAGCGAGUCGCAUGGUAAUGCGUUAAAUGGCCAAAUUAAAAUUAAACGCUAACGAUAAUUUAGCAUACGCUGCCUAAUGGCAGCAGUCGGCCCUAGGGCACUCACACCUUAGGAUCCCGGCUUCAAACAUGUGAGAAACGACAUAUGCAAAGCUUUGCGCAUAUGGGCGUAACAUGAAGCUACUGAAAUGCCCAGGGUGUUUAUUCCCGGGGCGCGGAGGGAAUGUCAAAGAAUAAACUACACUCGUAGAAGGACAGGGAAUAGGCUUUUGGACACGGGUUCGACUCCCGUCUACUCCAUAG
rfam:Firmicutes bacterium CAG:65 genomic scaffold, scf80